UNGGAGCCUCAGAUAAGCAAACCUUGGGCCC
rnacentral:piRNA from 1 species